UUAGCAGCCGCUGUGGCGUAUAGGGGGUGGAGAACAUGGCCUUCCUUGGGGUUCACAUGCACCCACUUGCGCCCGCUCAGCUUGUUACGCUCGAAUUUCACCGUCCCCUCCUUCAGGGCAUACAGAGUAUGGUCCUUCCCGAUUCCGACAUAGUCACCGGGGUGGAACCUCGUGCCCCUUUGGCGAACAAUGAUGUUCCCAGGUAUCACUCUUUCUCCACCGAACUUCUUCACUCCCAGGUAUUUCGGAUUAGAGUCUCGACCGUUCUUGGUUGAUCCUGCUGUCUUCUUCGUCGCCCAGCGCCUGAACAUCAAGCUCAGCCCCCCUGAUGCUUCGAUAGCACUAGUAUAUAUAGGGACUUUCGAAACUAGAUCUUUCAGGGUCACUCGUCUGCAUAGCAAUGAAAGAUUCAUCAUACUGCCG
rnacentral:misc_RNA from 1 species